GAUUGUAUGUCCAGGACAUGGCAGAGCGGUUUGGUGUGUCCGUGGGUGCAUUCUCUCAGUACUUCACCACCUGGGUUUGCCUACUCUACAAGGAACUUAAGGAGCUGAACCCCUUUCCAUCAAGGGAUGUUAUUCAGAGAAAUAUGCCGUCAUGUUUUAAAUCUUUCCCUAAUUUAAGAGUUAUACUUGAUUGUACUGAAAUCUUUAUUCAAAGAUCCAGCAGUUUGGUUAAUCAGAAUCAGUCAUUUUCAAAUUACAAGCAUCACACUACUUUAAAAUUUCUUGUUGGAAUCACUCCUUCUGGUGUGAUUUCAUUUGUUUCAGAGGGCUUUGGUGGAAGAGUUUCAGACCGACAGAUGAUUGAGCGCACCUGCCUAUUAGACCUCAUAGAAGAGGGCGAUGGGGUGAUGGCAGACAAGGGUUUUACCAUCAAAGACAUGUUAGAGAAAAAGGGAUGCACUCUUAAUAUUCCACCUUUUCGUUCUUCUUCUAAUCAGUUUACAACUCAAGAAGUUUUAAAUACUCAAGAAAUUGCUAAAUUAAGAAUUCAUGUGGAAAGAGCUAUUGGCCGCGUCAAAAAUUUUCAUAUAUUUGAUGGUGUUCUUUCUCUUUCUUUAGUGCCAUUAUCAUCACAGAUGUUUUCUGUUUGCUGUUGGAUAACAAACCUUGAUGUACCUUUGAUUGAAAGUUAGUUCUCAUCAGACAGGAUCAGAGCUUUCAUCGCCUUUUCCCUCGGAUCCUCUGUUGACUCUACCUCCACUUCAGAUUCAAACUCUGGGCUUUCAUCCGGAAUAUUCCACAAGUGACCCAUGCCUUUCAAAAGAAUUUAUUUAUUAAAUUUAUGUUAUGUUUUCAGAGGAGUUUUAGUUUAAUUUUUUUUUAAAUUGUCCAUCAUAUAAUGUGUCAGGGAAUUGAAAUUAUCUGUUGUUGUUAUAAAUGUAUUUUUCUUAAUUAUAUAGUAAAAAUUAAAUUUUAAACCAAGA